rnacentral:rRNA from 1 species
UAUCGAAGCUAACGCGUUAAGUUCGCCGCCUGGGAAGUACGGUCGCAAGACUGAGACUCAAAGGAAUUGACGGGGCCCGCAGGGAUGAGAUGG